rnacentral:rRNA from 1 species
CAUGCAGUCGAGGGGUACAUUGUAGCUUGCUACAGAUGACGACCGGCGCACGGGUGCGUAACGCGUAUAGAACCUACCUUUUACAUAGGGAUAGCCUUUAGAAAUGAAGAUUAAUACCUUAUAGUAUUGAGACUUGGCAUCAAGUUUUAAUUAAAGAUUUAUCGGUAAAAGAUGGCUAUGCGUCCUAUUAGUUAGUUGGUAAGGUAACGGCUUACCAAGACAUCGAUAGGUAGGGGUCCUGAGAGGGAGAUCCCCCACACUGGUACUGAGACACGGACCAGACUCCUACGGGAGGCAGCAGUGAGGAAUAUUGGACAAUGGAGGCAACUCUGAUCCAGCCAUGCCGCGUGUAGGAAGAAUGCCCUAUGGGUUGUAAACUACUUUUAUACAGGAAGAAACACUGGUAUGUAUACCAGCUUGACGGUACUGUAAGAAUAAGGACCGGCUAACUCCGUGCCAGCAGCCGCGGUAAUACGGAGGGUCCGAGCGUUAUCCGGAAUCAUUGGGUUUAAAGGGUCCGCAGGCGGUCGAUUAAGUCAGAGGUGAAAUCCCAUAGCUCAACUAUGGAACUGCCUUUGAUACUGGUUGACUUGAGUCAUAUGGAAGUGGAUAGAAUGUGUAGUGUAGCGGUGAAAUGCAUAGAUAUUACACAGAAUACCGAUUGCGAAGGCAGUCCACUACGUAUGUACUGACGCUGAGGGACGAAAGCGUGGGGAGCGAACAGGAUUAGAUACCCUGGUAGUCCACGCCGUA